CAGAGUGCUGUGUAUUCAUCAGAUAUUCUGGGAUGUUUAAGAGAACAGCAAACCCUUGGUUUCCCAUGUCAUCCUCAAUAGGGUUGAUAGUUAUGGAAUGCAGGUACUGGAAGACUGGAAGACACUAGAAGAUGAGCUUUGCAAUUAUAGUUUCAGGAUAGCACAGCUGGAGAAAAUAAACAUCCCGUCAGAAAAAAGGUGUGGAAAAAACAACUGUGGAAAAGCUGGGGAAGCAAGCAUGUGAAUUUUCUUCAUCAUAAAACUGGGAAAGAUACUGCAAUGGAAAUAUUUCUUUACUUAAACUUGGCUUACAGCACUCAUUUCCCCAGGAUCAAGGCUUGGUGCUGAUAUCUGUCCCUAGACCAAUAUGAAACAGUGGGAGAGAAGUCCUGAGUGCUCACUCUCAGUGAUCAGACCACACAACUUGUGUUUUCAGCCUAAUCUAGAAUUCAUAAAGAUUUAUAGAUGUGCUUUUAAAUUCAGGCUAAGAUGUCUUUAUGGACUUGGCCCCAAGGGAACUGGAAUUGCAUCUCCACCAGCCCAGCCCAGCCAUGCUUUACAGGUGGGUGAGAUUGAAACCCUUUGCUGGUGGAGCAGCUCUGUGUCAUCACAAAUGGAAGUUCUCACCUCAGUACCUGAGUGCAAGACAAGAUCUGGAGUGCUCUCUCUAGUGGUGGCUGGGUGCUCCAAGCAGAGCAGCUGGGGAUUGCUCUCCUCAGUGAUGUUUCUGCCCACCAACAGAAGCUGGUUUGGUAGUUUUGGGUCUGUGUGGCUCAAGGCACAAAGUUUGCUUGAACCUUUUCCUGCUGCUGAAGCUUCACCUUAGUGAGAGGGCCGGCACACUUCUCUUGGUGUGCUGGUAGCACAAGCAAAUUAUUAUCCUAUAUCUGUGAAAACACUCUUGAAUAGCUGUUCUGUCUCCAUCUCUGCUGUUUUCCAUUCCUUUGUCUCUGGCCACAUUUCGAUUACCUGUUCUGGAAAGAGACCCACCCCUGUGUGCUUUCAGCAGUGGAAAAUUUCAAGUUCCUGGCUUUUCUUACUGGUUUCUCUCGUGAAGCAAAGAGUGCCACCACCAGGGCAGGAAAAAUUAACAUGGCAAGAGAAUCUGGGCUUAAAAAAUGUAUUACAAAAACAAUUAGUUAAGAAAUAAUAAGUAAUGCUCCUUGUUCCUCUUUUUCUUUCCAGGCUCUGUGCUCUGAGAUGCCUGGGGACCUCAGCCUCACCAGUUCUGUCUCAGCAGUCAAAAGAGUUGGCACUGUGUUAACUGUGUGCACACAGGCUUAUUUUAAAUAACCUCAUCAGUCUGGAUAAUUCUCAUUGGUUCCCUCUUCUCAGACCUGCCAGAAUUAAAAAAAAAAGGAAAGGUUCUCAGGAAACUUUCCCCAGCAAAACCAGGAUAAUAUUAUUGGCACUUACAUACACUGCUGGUGAGUCUUAUUCGAAAUAGCCUACACAAUUCCAGCUGGAUCAGGGUAGUGGUGGCCAGCUUCAAGGAGAUUUACAGACCUUCCCUUGUUUGGUCUGGCAGGGGGAGGCUGAGAGCGGGGUGUGAUCCCUGCUAAACUCACUGUGGGAUCACAUCAAGAAAGGAGAAGAGCAAGUCACACUUAAGAGUGGUGCUGGCACACUCUCAAAUGGGUAUAAACUGAUCUUGAAUACACUUGGCCUUGGUUUUAGAAGACAGUACCUGCUACCCUGAAGCAGUGAAGCCUUUAAUCAGAAUAGUGUGGGCCAAAAAAAACAAAGUUAGAUUGAAAAAUAGCACUAUUCAUUUUUGGAGGCAGCUGUGUGUUGUAGUGCUGCCAUGGCAGGAAGGUCAAUUCUGUGACCCAGAAGGAUCUAUCAGUCUUAUUUCCAUGUUCCUCACAGCUUUUGUCAGAAAAAUAAAUUGAUAACAAUAUUGACACUAAAAUCACCCUUCAGAGACAAUCUUCAGAGUCUUCAGACUACUGAAAUGAAAGGUGGGAGAUGGGGAGGGGUUUCAUCUUUCA